ACUGGACAUUACUGCAGUGUGAAGAAGGCUGCAGGCUCAGCUGUGAGCAAUUAAACACUUUCUAUUGGGGGAUUAUGAGCACCUGAGUGCAACAGCAGCCAUCCUACAAGCUACCAUUGCGAGAAACUGGUUUCUCCUAAAUGACAGGAGUGUGAGAUAAUCAAGCGACCGAAACUGCAGCUACAGAAACUGACAUUUACAGAAAGCAUUAAUGGUGCAGUAUGGGGGAAACACAUGAAACUGUAAUGAUGCCUGACUUGCUCUGUAGUGUACAGGGAAGUCUGGUGAAUGUUACACUUGUUUGGCAGACAGGAAGUGACUGCAUCAUUAACACUAUCCAGAAGUGAGUGCUGAUAAACCCUGGCACGGCAACAAAAAGAAAAGCCAGGCAGAGUGACACGAGAACUUGUGGAAAACAUCUGCAGUUCACGGAAGAAA